AUUCGGCAGUCGCCUGCAAUGUCGAACAAGAACACUGACUGCACUGCAUUACAGCAAAAGCCCUCUCGGUCAACACCACCUCAUAAAAUGAGGAAGUACAUUGUUUAUGAGGAUUGCCUGCUGCAGAUGUUCGAGAUAUGUCCAGCCGAACACGCAACACAGAGGAGACCAGCAAGGGGACCCUUCAGCAUCACGGACAUGUCCUUGCUUUGAGAGUUCCUAUAAAUGGAACAGGGAGUACACUUAAACCAGAAACAUGUAUGGAGCCAGAACAUGGAGUCUUGCAAGAUAAUGUGAUGAAGUCCAGUCUGACAGAUGGGCUUGAUACUGAUGUCUUUAAAUGUAGAAAGACCUGGCACUCAGCAUAAAAAAUGUAGU